rnacentral:rRNA from 1 species
GACGAACGCUGGCGGCGUGCUUAACACAUGCAAGUCGAACGGAAAGGCCCUGCUUUUGUGGGGUGCUCGAGUGGCGAACGGGUGAGUAACACGUGAGUAACCUGCCCUUGCCUUUGGGAUAACUUCAGGAAACUGGGUCUAAUACCGCAUAGGAGCUCCUGCUGCAUGGUGGGGGUUGGAAAGUUUCGGUGGUUGGGGAUGUACUCGCGGCUUAUCAGCUUGUUGGUGGGGUAGUGGCUUACCAAGGCUUUGACGGGUAGCCGGCCUGAGAGGGUGACCGGCCAAAUUAGGACUGAGAUAAGGCCCAGACUCGUACGGGAGGCAGCGGUGGGGAAGAGUACACAAUGGGCGGAAGCAUGAUGCAGCAACGCAGCGUGCGGGAUGACGGCCUUCGGGUUGUAAACCGCUUUCGCCUGUGACGAAGCGUGAGUGACGGUAAUGGGUAAAGAAGCACCGGCUAACUACGUG